CAGACUAAAGCUGUGUGGAGUAGGGGUGUGCAUUGGCACUGCCCUCACAAUUCCAUUCGAUUACGAUUCACCAGGUAACGAUUCGAUUCAAUUCGAUUCUACGAUGCAUUGCGAUGCAUCAAAGUUCUACUGCACACAACAAGGCAAAUUUUUCAUCAGUCAUGAGGCAAUACAAG